ACUCAAAGGAAUUGACGGGGGCCCGCACAAGCAGCGGAGCGUGUGGUUUAAUUCGACGCGACGCGCAGAACCUUACCAGGGUUUGACAUGCACACGAAGGUUGCAGAGAUGUGGCCGUCCGCAAGGACGUGUGGACAGAUGCUGCAUGGCUGUCGUCAGCUCGUGCCGUGAGGUGUUGGGUUAAGUCCCGCAACGAGCGCAACCCUCGUCGCUAGUUGACUUUCUAGCGAGACUGCCGAGUCUAACUCGGAGGAAGGUGGGGAUGACGUCAAGUCAGCACGGCUCUUACGCCCUGGGCUACACACACGCUACAAUGGCCUGUACAGAGGGGUGCGAAGGGGUGACCUGGAGCGAAUCCCGACAAAGCAGGCCUCAGUUCAGAUUGGAGUCUGCAACCCGACUCCAUGAAGGCGGAGUUGCUAGUAACCGCAGGUCAGCACACUGCGGUGAAUACGUUCCCGGGCCUUGUACACACCGCCCGU
rnacentral:rRNA from 1 species